UGGAUAUGGGGCUGUAAGGAUUACGACCUUUGUUAGUUAAUUCGCGAAUUAUUCGCGAAUUAUUCGCAAAUUAUUAAAAAUCCGAAUUAGACAGUUCAUUUACGAAUUUUUCCAAAAAAAAGAAUUAUUCAAGAAUUUUUGGGCCAGCUAAAUAAUUCACGAAUAAUUCGUGAAUUAUUCGCGAUUUAUUCCAGAAUUAUUGAAAAUCUGAAUAAAAAACUUAUAAUUUUUAUGUUUAAAUAUAGAUUAUCUUAUAUUUUAUAUCUUAUAUUUUAUAUUUUAUACCGAAUCCGUUUUUUAAGCCAAAAUUUUCAACGAAUUUAAAAAUUAGAAAACGAAUUUUAUGCGUAUUAUACUCAUACCAAAUUUUUGCUGAAUUCGAAUUAACUAACUAUGAUUACAACCCUUUUCUGGUUGUAGACUUUGCAAUUCUCAUCUAAUAAUCUA
rnacentral:lncRNA from 1 species